rnacentral:rRNA from 1 species
UGGGGAAUUUUGGACAAUGGGCGCAAGCCUGAUCCAGCAAUGCCGCGUGAGUGAAGAAGGCCUUCGGGUUGUAAAGCUCUUUUGUCAGGGAAGAAACGGAUUGGUCUAAUACACUGAUCUAAUGACGGUACCUGAAGAAUAAGCACCGGCUAACUACGUGCCAGCAGCCGCGGUAAUACGUAGGGUGCAAGCGUUAAUCGGAAUUACUGGGCGUAAAGCGUGCGCAGGCGGUUAUGUAAGACAGAUGUGAAAUGCCCGGGCUUAACCUGGGAACUGCAUUUGUGACUGCAUGGCUAGAAUUUGGCAGAGGGGGGUAGAAUUCCACGUGUAGCAGUGAAAUGCGUAGAUAUGUGGAGGAAUACCGAUGGCGAAGGCAGCCCCCUGGGCUAAGAUUGACGCUCAUGCACGAAAGCGUGGGGAGCAAACAG